rnacentral:lncRNA from 1 species
UGAGAAUCUGGGAGCUGUGAUGGUUCAAGGCAUGUCCUGGGCUCGGCCUCUUCCUUGCCUAGCCACCCACAUCCUGUGAGAAGGACUAACUAGGGCAUGUGAGGUUGGAUGCAUUGCUUCACACUCUGCCUGCAGGAUUGGCUCAGAUCUUGGUAGAAUUGUUGAGAAGUGAAAAGGUAUUUGCUGUUGGGAAAGACUGGGAAAUCUAUCGUGUGUUUUUAUGAAGUUCCCAAACCCUGGGACCCAGUUGCAGGAACAAGAUGGGGUCACAGAAGGACCCAGCCCAGCCAGCAUACAGCUUCUGGAUGGGGCUGCUGCUGCUGGUGCCCCAGGGACCUGCAUGCCUUCCCCAGCCUUUGGCUUGCUCCAGGCACUAGGUAAGGAGAAAGCAGGUGCCAGUGGGGGGCUGCAGCUGGGCAGAAGUA